rnacentral:pre_miRNA from 1 species
AGUGGGAGAGCUGGGUCAAAUGGUGGUUCCAUUCCAAGUUUUCUGAGAAAUUGCCAUACUGCUUUCCAUAGUGGUUGUACCAAUUUGCAUUCCUAUAAGCAAU